GGUGGUUCUCAGGUGACACACCCCAGAAUCGAGCUCCCUCCUCUCUGGUUCCGGGUGUGUCACCAGAGAACCGCA
rfam:Myotis brandtii contig311388, whole genome shotgun sequence.